rnacentral:lncRNA from 1 species
UGCUCGGCUGCCACCAUCCUAGGGACCGGCGCGGCUUCGCCGGUCGUCCCUGCGGCAGCGUGGGGAGGGAGCGAAGGGAGAGCUCCCGGCAGCGGCGCGAGUUACCUCCGUGCCGCCAGCGUCGAGCGCCCCCGUACGACAUCUAGUUAUCUCUAGUUCUCUACCCCGAGUGAGUUCUCCAAAUGGACUUUCUUCUUAACAACUCGAUCUCAUUACAUAUACCAUGCCAGCAAGGAGACGAGUUGCGAAUAAAUGGAUUAUCGAUCAGUCCUCUGCUGGGGUAAUAUUUUGCUCAUGCCUCUGUAAUAUUUAGGUUUGAGAAAAGUAUACUUUUCGUCCCUCAACUUUUGGUGAAGUCUAGAUUUGGUCCUUCAUCUUCAAAACCGGACAACUUGCACCCCCAACUACCGAAACCGAACAAGGUUCGUCCCUGGACUCGGUUUUGACCGGUUUUGGUGCUGACUCAUCCCGGUUUUGACCGGUGCUCACUCAUAUUUGUGUAAUUUUUUUAUGUCCGUGAACUUUUUGAAAUUCACAUACACUUUUCAACUCUACGUAAUUUUAUCAAGCUCGCGUAUUUUUUCAAAAAUAAACAUACUUUUUUUCAAAUGAGCGAACUAUUUUGAAAUUUGCAUACUUUUAUAAUAUGUGUUCCUUUUAUGAUAAUCCAUGAACUUUGUUUGAAAUUCACGUACUUGUUUCAAGCUGAACUAAUUUUUGAAAUCCACAUAUUUUUGCGUAAAAAAAGUCCAUAUCCCCGUACUUUUUUCCGGUUCGCAUAAACUUUUCAAAUUCAUGAACUCUUUCCAAAAAAAUGUACUCGAAUAUGAAAAGGUACAUCAAUUUAAAAAAUGAACUUAAAAAAACUAGAUGAACUUUAAAAAAAUACGCAUAAUUAAAAAAGUACAUGAACUUGGAAAAACUACGCAGAUUUUAAAAAAGUACACAAAUUUUAAAAUGAUUCACGUAUUUGAAAAAAGUAACCGAAUUUUAAAAAGGUGCACGUAUUUGAAAAAAGUAACCGAAUUUUAAAAAGGUUCACGUACUUGGAAAUGGUAGGCAAAUUUGAGUUGGAACGGUCAAAACCAGGGUGGGACGGCACCAAAACCGUGACCAGGGAUGAAUCUUGUCCGGUUUCAGAAGUUAAGGGUGCAAGUUGUCCGGUUUUGAAGUUGAGGGACCAAAUCUAGACUCCGUCAAAAAUUGAGGGACGAAAUAUAUACUUUUCUCUUUAGGUUUCGUCAAUUUGUCUCAAGCCAUCCAGUGAACCUUCCUUCGAUCAUAUUCAUCGCCCCACCAAAAGUUACGAGUGAGCUUCGCUGAUUCCUUGCACAACCCACACGAGAACUUGAAAAUGAUCGUGGCAUACGUUGGGAGGGCUUGCACCACAGACUUAAUAAAGAACUUCCUUUGCUGCACGUGAUAAAUAAUAUCUCUUAGACCAAUCUGAGCAUCUCUUUAGGAACUUAUAUUUAAUAGGCUGAAACUUUUCCUGUCCUAGACAUUUCUCCUUGAAACCAGCGGACUAGACGUUCAAAACUUGUAUCACACUAAAUGGACAUCAUGAUGCAGAUAAUAGAGUACGAGAUGAGUCAAGAUAUUUUGAUGUUCCAUUCAAGUUUUUCAAAUACAUCUCUUGACUGUAUUCAUUUUAUUCUACCAUAUCAUAAGUGUUGGUUGUUUUCACGUCAAGUUACUGUAUCAUGUAAGAGCAGUUCUGCAGGGACGACACGUUUCCAGCCGAAAUCUGGACGAUGGAUCAAAUCAUCCGAUUUAAGAUGGACAUUGUCCAGAUUUGUCCAUGC